GACGAACGCUGGCGGCAUGCCUAAUACAUGCAAGUCGAGCGAACAGAUGAAGUGCUCGCACUUCUGACGUUAGCGGCGAACGGGUGAGUAACACGUAAGGAAUCUACCUAUAAGCGGGGGAUAACAUUCGGAAACGGGUGCUAAUACCGCAUAAUAUCUUCUUCCGCAUGGAAGAAGAUUGAAAGACGGCUCUGCUGUCACUUAUAGAUGACCUUGCGGUGCAUUAGUCAGUUGGUGGGGUAAUGGCCUACCAAGACGAUGAUGCAUAGCCGACCUGAGGGGGUGAUCGGCCACAUUGGGACUGAGACACGGCCCAAACUCCUACGGGAGGCAGCAGUAGGGAAUCUUCCGCAAUGGGCGAAAGCCUGACGGAGCAAUGCCGCGUGAGUGAAGAAGGCCUUCGGGUCGUAAAACUCUGUUAUAAGAGAAGAACAAAUUGUAGAGUAACUGCUACAGUCUUGACGGUAUCUUAUCAGAAAGCCACGGCUAACUACGUGCCAGCAGCCGCCGCAG
rnacentral:rRNA from 1 species